rnacentral:lncRNA from 1 species
GGCCGGCCUCCUCCUCCUCCUGCUCCGGCCGGCCGGCCUCCUCUUGCUCCGGCCUCCUCCUCCUGCUGCUCCGGCCUCCUCCUGCUGCUGCUCCGGUCCUCCCUCCUCCUCCUCGAGUACAUUUCUGAGCUUUAGUUUUAUUUUGUGUUUGCUUUUAUUUUCCGGUCAAUUGCAAUGUUGUGGUGUUGUUAGGAAGUGUAUAUUUGUAUUUAGGAAGUGUAUAUUGUUAUUUAAUAAGUGUAUAUUUGUAUUUAGUAUUUAGGAAAUGUAUAUAUUUGUUUUGUAUUUUGUGUUUGCUUUGAUUUUCCGGUCAAUUGCAAUGUUGUGGUGUUGUUAGGAAGUGUAUAUUUUUAUUUAUGAAGUGUAUAUGUGUAAAUUUUAGGAAGUGAAAAUUUGUAUUUAGGAAGUGUAUAUAUUUUUUACAUUUUUUAAAUGAGUUUGCAUUUUUUGAUUUUGUGGCCUUGAUUCAAAUUAAUAUUUUAAACAGGAUGAGCGGUAAUAUUAGAUCGACGAAGGGUUUGAAGGGCCAAAGGUCCGUAUCGUCUGAGGGAACCUCUAGCAACCCUCAGACGUCGUUUCAGGGCCUUAUGACAGCUAGACAUGCGAGCCUUCUGCAGACGGCGCAGAGGCAGCCGGAGGUGCCCCCUUCAUCGAGGCAGCGGGGCUU